CCUACGGGAGGCAGCAGUAAGGAAUAUUGGUCAAUGGACGCAAGUCUGAACCAGCCAUGCCGCGUGAAGGAUUAAGGUCCUCUGGAUUGUAAACUUCUUUUAUCUGGGACGAAAAAAGGCGAUUCUUCGUCACUUGACGGUACCAGAUGAAUAAGCACCGGCUAACUCCGUGCCAGCAGCCGCGGUAAUACGGAGGGUGCAAGCGUUAUCCGGAUUCACUGGGUUUAAAGGGUGCGUAGGCGGGCAGGUAAGUCAGUGGUGAAAUCCUAGAGCUUAACUCUAGAACUGCCAUUGAUACUAUCUGUCUUGAAUAUUGUGGAGGUAAGCGGAAUAUGUCAUGUAGCGGUGAAAUGCUUAGAUAUGACAUAGAACACCUAUUGCGAAGGCAGCUUACUACGCAUAUAUUGACGCUGAGGCACGAAAGCGUGGGGAUCAAACAGGAUUAGAUACCCUGGUAGUCCACGCCCUAAACCGAUGAUUACUCGACAUUUGUGAUACACUAUAAGUGUCUGAGCGAAAGCAUUAAGUAAUCCACCUGGAAGUACGACCGCAAGGUUGAAACUUAAAUGAAUUGACGG
rnacentral:rRNA from 1 species